rnacentral:rRNA from 1 species
AGUGAACGCUGGCGGUAGGCCUAACACAUGCAAGUCGAACGGCAGCACAGUAAGAGCUUGCUCUUACGGGUGGCGAGUGGCGGACGGGUGAGGAAUACAUCGGACUCUACUUUUUCGUGGGGGAUAACGUAGGGAAACUUACGCUAAUACCGCAUACGACCUACGGUUGAAAGCAGGGGAUCUUCGGACCUUGCGCGAUUGAAUGAGCCGAUGUCGGAUUAGCUAGUUGGCGGGGUAAAGGCCCACCAAGGCGACGAUCCGUAGCUGGUCUGAGAGGAUGGUCAGCCGCACGGGAACUGAGACACGGUCCAGACUCCUACGGGAGGCAGCAGUGGGGAAUAGGGGACAAUGGGCGCAAGCCUGAUCCAGCCAGACGGCGUGGGUGAAGAGGGCCUUCGGGGUGGAAAGCCCUUUUGUUGGGAAAGAAAAGCAGCAGGUUAAUACGACGCUGUUCUGACGGUACCCAAAGAAGAAGCACCGGCUAACUUCGUG